AUGAAUCCUUCCUCUCUUCUGUUUGCUUCCCAUUCCCGCCCACUAUCCCAAAGCUCACAUGGCUUGAGGGUGAAGGGAGGAGUGAAACGAGCUGCCAGAGGAAAAAGCCAUUUAGGAAACAUUGUAAGAGUGACCGCUGGCUCUCCAUCUCCGGGAGGGAAAACGCAUGGACUUCGCCCGAGACCAUCUUCUGGACUCCCACUUCUUUUCCCCAUUAAACUGUAAUGUGCAAUUUCUCACUGAGAGUCAUCUGUGCCUUUCUAGAAAGACAUAUUUAAAAAAUGUUCUCUCCCGGGUGUUGGGAAACUCUUAGUCAUAUGAUAGGUUUCUAGAAAUUGAUACCAAAGAAAAAUAAAUCUCCAGAUUUUCUCCAGUUGAAAAUAUGUAAAAUAACACCAGUUGCC
rnacentral:lncRNA from 1 species